AGGAGUCAGGAGUCAGGAGUAAGGAGUAAGGAGUAAUGAGUAAGGAGUAAGGAGUCAGGAGUCAGGACUCAUAUGGAUAUUAAUUUCAGAGAGCGGACAGCUCAGUCCUUGGUUCAGACAGGAGAGCAGAACAGAGCUGAAGAUUGUAGUCCAGCAGGAGACACAGAUCAAUGAGGAGAGUGUGUUGAACAACAUCUCUGGGAGCCAGGAGGAUCUCCUCUAACUCACAGUCACAGUAUCCUUGUAGGAACUCUGACCACGCCCCUCUUCUCACCAUUCAAUAGAACAGAAGAUAAUCAUUAAUCCUGACCUUUUAAUGUGGAACCCAUCCGAGCCUACAAUAAAAAGGGAAGAGGAUACGAUGAAACUUGCAAGAAGGAUCUGAUCUGAACGAACCUUCUCAACAAAAGAGCAUUCACCCCUCUCCACCAGAAUGAAGUUCCCAGGGUCCACGACUUUGAAGUACACGUCGUGAUCGAAGAACUUCCAAGCAGGGAUCUCCACACAUACUAUUACAUAGAAGAGGAUACAGA